UACGUAGGGUGCGAGCGUUAAUCGGAAUUACUGGGCGUAAAGCGUGCGCAGGCGGUUUGUAAGACAGGCGUGAAAUCCCCGAGCUCAACUUGGGAAUUGCGCUUGUGACUGCAAGGCUAGAGUGUGUCAGAGGGGGUAGAAUUCCACGUGUAGCAGUGAAAUGCGUAGAGAUGUGGAGGAAUACCGAUGCGAAGGCAGCCCCCUGGGACAUGACUGACGCUCAUGCACGAAAGCGUGGGGAGCAAACAGG
rnacentral:rRNA from 1 species